rnacentral:lncRNA from 1 species
AAGAAAAAAACAAAAAUAAAUAUCCCAUUUCCAGAAACAAGAACUUAAUUUCUUCUUAAAUCGUCACUUGCUACUUUCACCUUUCAUUGUUGAAUUUUCAGUAGCUAUUUUAGCUUCGAUUGCCUCAUUAACUUUCUUCAGUUUCAUAUUUAUAAGAGCAACAAAAUCAAAUGCGCUAUUCAUGUGUAUAUGAUUCGCCCUUUGUGGAUUCUCCAAGUAUGCAGCAGAUAGGAGCAAUUCCAUCUCUACUAUUUUUCACAUCC